rfam:Coprococcus catus GD/7 draft genome.
GGCCUAGUGGCUCAGUUGGUUAGAGCGCCGCCCUGUCACGGCGGAGGUCACGGGUUCGAGUCCCGUCUGGGUCG